rnacentral:sRNA from 2 species
ACCACUGUCAAUCUAUCUACUACUGCUAAUCUAUACUGCUGCCAAUCUAUCUAUUGCUGCUAAUCUAUUGCUGCUGCCAAUCUAUCUACUGCUGCUAAUCUAUCUAUUGCUGUCAAUCUAUCUACCACUGCUAAUCUAUUGCUGCUAAUCUAUCACUGUUAAUCUAUUGCUGCUAAUCUAUCUAUUACUGCUAAUCUAUUGCUGCCAAUCUAUCUAUCACUGUCAAUCUAUCUACCACUGCCAAUCUAUCUACCACUGUCAAUCUAUCUACUGCUGUCAAUCUAUCUACCACUGCUAAUCUAUCACUGCUAAUCUAUCGCUGCUAAUCUAUUGCUGCUAAUCUAUUGCUGCUAAUCUAUUGCUGCUAAUCUAUUUAUCACUGCUAAUCUAUCACUGUCAAUCUAUCUACCGCUGCCAAUCUAUCUACUGCUGCCAA